AUUAGAGUUUGAUCAUGGCUCAGAGUGAACGCUGGCGGCAGGCCUAACACAUGCAAGUCGAACGGCAGCACAGGAGAGCUUGCUCUCUGGGUGGCGAGUGGCGGACGGGUGAGGAAUAUAUCGGAAUCUACCCUUUCGUGGGGGAUAACGUAGGGAAACUUACGCUAAUACCGCAUACGAACUGAGGUUGAAAGCGGCGGACCGCAAGGCGUCGCGCGGAUGGAUGAGCCGAUAUCCGAUUAGCUAGUUGGCGGGGUAAAAGCCCACCAAGGCGACGAUCGGUAGCUGGUCUGAGAGGAUGAUCAGCCACACUGGAACUGAGACACGGUCCAGACUCCUACGGGAGGCAGCAGUGGGGAAUAUUGGACAAUGGGCGCAAGCCUGAUCCAGCCAUGCCGCGUGUGUGAAGAAGGCCUUCGGGUUGUAAAGCACUUUUGUUGGGAAAGAAAAGCGGUCGGUUAAUACCCGGUCGUUCUGACGGUACCCAAAGAAUAAGCACCGGCUAACUUCGUGCCAGCAGCCGCGGUAAUACGAAGGGUGCAAGCGUUACUCGGAAUUACUGGGCGUAAAGCGUGCGUAGGUGGUUUGUUAAGUCAGAUGUGAAAGCCCCGGGCUCAACCUGGGAAUUGCAUUUGAUACUGGCAGACUAGA
rnacentral:rRNA from 1 species